rnacentral:rRNA from 1 species
AGAGUUUGAUCAUGGCUCAGAACGUACGCUGGCGGCACGCCUAACACAUGCAAGUCGAACGAAGUAGCAAUACUUAGUGGCAGACGGGUGAGUAACAUGUAGGUAUCUGCCCUUUGGCCUGGAAUAACACGAGGAAACUUGUGCUAAUACCGGAUAAGUCUUUACGGAGAAAGCUUUAUGCACCAUUGGAUGAGCCUGCACUUGAUUAGUUUGUUGGUGGGGUAAUGGCCUACCAAGACUGUGAUCAAUAGCUGAUUUGAGAGGAUGAUCAGCCACAUUGGGACUGAGACACGGCCCAAACUCCUACGGGAGGCAGCAGUGGGGAAUCUUGCACAAUGGAGGAAACUCUGAUGCAGCGAUGCCGCGUGAGUGAAGAAGGCCCUUGGGUUGUAAAGCUCUUUCGUCGGGGAAGAAAAUGACUGUACCCGAAUAAGAAGGUCCGGCUAACUUCGUGCCAGCAGCCGCGGUAAUACGAAGGGACCUAGCGUAGUUCGGAAUUACUGGGCUUAAAGAGUUCGUAGGUGGUUGAAAAAGUUGGUGGUGAAAUCCCAGAGCUUAACUCUGGAACUGCCAUCAAAACUUUUCAGCUAGAGUAUGAUAGAGGAAAGCAGAAUUUCUAGUGUAGAGGUGAAAUUCGUAGAUAUUAGAAAGAAUACCAAUUGCGAAGGCAGCUUUCUGGAUCAUUACUGACACUGAGGAACGAAAGCAUGGGUAGCGAAGAGGAUUAGAUACCCUCGUAGUCCAUGCCGUAAACGAUGUGUGUUAGACGUUGGAAAUUUAUUUUCAGUGUCGCAGGGAAACCGAUAAACACACCGCCUGGGGAGUACGACCGCAAGGUUAAAACUCAAAUGAAUUGACGGGGACCCGCACAAGUAGUGGAGCAUGUGGUUUAAUUCGAAGAUACGCGCAGAACCUUACCAACACUUGACAUGUUCGUCGCGACUCUAAGAGAUUAGAGUUUUCGGUUCGGCCGGACGAAACACAGGUGCUGCAUGGCUGUCGUCAGCUCGUGUCGUGAGAUGUUGGGUUAAGUCCCGCAACGAGCGCAACCCUCACUUUUAGUUGCCAUCAUUAAGUUGGGCACUCUGAAAGAACUGCCAGUGAUAAGCUGGAGGAAGGUGGGGAUGACGUCAAGUCCUCAUGGCCCUUACGUGUUGGGCUACACACGUGCUACAAUGGUAUCUACAACAGGAAGCAAGACUGCGAAGUUAAGCAAAUCCCUAAAAGAUACCUCAGUUCGGAUUGCACUCUGCAACUCGAGUGCAUGAAGCUGGAAUUACUAGUAAUCGUGGAUCAGCGUGCCACGGUGAAUGCGUUCCCGGGUCUUGUACACACCGCCCGUCACACCAUGGGAGUUGGUUCUACCUUAAGGCAAGGUUUCAAACCCUUGACCACGGUAUAGUCAGCGACUGGGGUGAAGUCGUAACAAGGUAGCCGUAGGGGAACCUGCGGCUG